GAGGAGGAGCCAGUGUUGCACAAGAGAGCGUUCCUUGAGGCUAUCGGUGAUGAAGAUAUUGAAGAAAGUGAUGAGCAGCAUGAAAGAGGAAGCAGCCAGCCAAUGUAUCCACAAUAUGUCGGUGAUAUUGCACCUAAUGAGGGAGAGUGGGAAGGGGGUCUAAGAGAAAAUGAGAGAGAUGAUGAUUCUGAGGCCACCCUAUCCCAGCCAUUUUAUUCACAUAUCGAGUCCCAACAGCAACAGUGUAGGGAUGAGCACGACAGUGCAGGUGAGCAUGAAGGAUGGACAAGCUUCGGGGAUUUUGGAUUGGGAACACAACAAAACACUAACACUCAG
rnacentral:lncRNA from 1 species